rnacentral:rRNA from 1 species
UACCAGCACCCCGAGUGGUCGGGACGUUUAUUGGGCCUAAAGCAUCCGUAGGCGGAUCGCUAAGUCAGGGGUGAAAUCCCAGGGCUCAACCCUGGAACUGCCUUUGAUACUGACGAUCUGGAGAUCGGGAGAGGUUGGUGGAAUUCCGAGUGUAGAGGUGAAAUUCGUAGAUAUUCGGAGGAACACCAGAAGCGAAGGCGGCCAACUGGCCCGAUACUGACGCUGAGGCGCGAAAGCGUGGGGAGCAAACAGG